AAGUCGUAACAAGGUUUCCGUAGGUGAACCUGCGGAAGGAUCAUUAACAAAUGAACCAAGAGCUUAACUGGUCGGUUGUUAGAAGGUAGGGGGAAUGGGGGGGAAAAAGAGAGAGUAAUUUUUUUUUUUUUGUUUCUUUUUUCCCUACCUGAGACACGAAAACCAACCACCUUGUGUGCACUCCAUUGGAGUAAAUUUUUAUUUUUCUUUUUUUUGAAAGGAGGGGAAAGGGAAGGGGAAUCUUCUUUUUCCUUUAUUUCCUUCUUUCGAGGGGAAAAAUAAAAAAAAAAAUUCACUCUUCCAAUAAAAUAAUUAAACCUGAACGAAAAACAAAUAAAAAAAAAACAACUUUCAACAACGGAUCUCUUGGCUCUC
rnacentral:misc_RNA from 1 species